GGCAUCCUCUACCGCUUCUCUGAAGCCAGCACAAUAAGUAAAGGGGACCAGUGAGAUGAUUCAGUGGGUGGCAUUCUCCUCGCACUCCUGAUGCCCUGAGUUUAAUCCUCAGAACCUCCUGGAGGCAGAGAAUAGAACCAAUUACACAGACACGUUUUUUUUGACUUCCACACAUGUACCAGAGCAGGUGUGCACCCCUCCACAACGCAACAGUGUUUCCAAAAAGAAUCAAACACAAAUAAGAUGGCUUUUAACUUUAAGAGAAGAAAUGCAAGCUGUGAAGUAGAAUUGCAGAAGUCAGAGGCUACAUCAUGAGACAAAGAAACAAGCAAGAUUCACCAUGAAGAAACUCCUGAAUGAAGAGAGUCUGGGAGCCGCCAGAAGUAAGAAGAAACAGUCAACUCUGAAGCCCUCUGCGCCAGGGGAAGCUUUAAAUAGCUCCCACUCAAGUGCCCCACGCAUGUGCAUGCUAGGCUGGAGCCAAUCAGAUUGCUUGGGGUCCUAAUGCAAGCCAGCUCUCAAGGACCCUGCCCAGGAUGAUGCUGGUUCUGGUUAGCGCCGGUUCCCAUAGCACAUGACGCAUCAAGUUCUUCCUUCUGGCAGUUUGUGUCUAUGCCAUGUCGAAUGAUGUCAUGUGGUGGAAAAGCUGACCGUCUUGUCUUGCUUUUGCCUCCCCUCCCCUCCCUGCCCCAGAGCCGGUUCCCAAAGGCCCCCCACAUGGGCUGGGGUGGGAACGAACGCCAGCUGUCUUGAAUCAAUUGGGGCUCUGCUCUGUCUCAGCCAACACCAAAUCAUUCCCAAAUCUACAUCAGAACAAGGUUUCAGCUGUGAAA